rnacentral:lncRNA from 1 species
CUCCUCUCUUUUCUUUGCUAGCUAUGGUUUCAGCCCCUCAGGCCUGGCAAGUGGGAGCAAGGGGAGAGGCAAAGGGAUGCUUUCUGCGCUGGUUUCAGGCAGGCUCCUUCUCUCGCUGAUACUUCUUUGGGCUCAUCAGAGGCCCCUGCUCCUGAUGGGGAAUGAAAUCUAUUCCUGUAGUUGUCACUCAGUCCUUGGAUCCUGGUUCUCUAGCUGUGCAACCAGAGACCCUGUGUGGAAGCUCCUCUAGGACAGGACUUGAAACUGCUCCAGUCCAUCUCAGUUGGCUCUUUUUUCCCCCUUUCCUCAACAUGGCUGUCAUCGGGUCCCAGAAGACUCUUACAUCCUUUGCCCUGGUAAAUGUGGACAGAGGAGACCAUCUCAGCGCGGCCACCUCCACUCUGCUGCACGGGCCUCUUAAACUUGUUCAACCACUGAGUCUAAAAGAAAGCAGUAGUCUGGCAGAUGUCUUCACAAAUUUUUUUCAACACUUCAGGAAACUUCAGAAUACUGCUCUAUGGGCACACAGUACCAUGAGAGUGGCUGCAACAGCGACCAGGGAGCCGUGGGCCAGUGGAACCCCUCCUUGCCUCUGCCUUCAGGAACGCAAUAACUUCUCCAGGCCCCUAUGUCCUCGUCUCUCAUAAAAUGCCUCUUUCAUAAAAUAUAUUACAAUAUUCAUAAAGAUGUGGAAGC